UGAUAAAAUCUAUACAACUUUCAGCAACGGAUCUCUUGGCUCUCGCAUCGAUGAAGAACGCAGCGAAAUGCGAUAAGUAAUGUGAAUUGCAGAAUUCAGUGAAUCAUCGAAUCUUUGAACGCACCUUGCGCUCCUUGGUAUUCCGAGGAGCAUGCCUGUUUGAGUGUCAUUAAAUUCUCAACCCAUAACUUCUUUUUUGAAGCUCUGGGCUUGGACUGUGGAGGUUUUGCUGGUGAGAAUCAGCUCCUCUGAAAUGCAUUAGCGGAACCGUUUGCGAUCUGCCACAAGUGUGAUAAUUAUCUACACUGAAGGGGAGAUUGCUCUCAGGUGUUCGGCUCCUAAUCGUCUUCGGACAAAACUAAUGAAUACUUGACCU
rnacentral:rRNA from 1 species